rnacentral:tRNA from 1 species
GGAGUAAAACAAUUUCGGCCCCUUGAAUGGCAUUCAAGAGGCCGUCAGUUCAAUUCUGUCCAGCUCCACCA